GGAGUGGUGCAUUUCGGGACGUGUAGUUUUCCCCGGCAGGACCGUGGAAGUCGUGGUUUGCGUGCGGCCUGGCGCGGGAGGCUCCGCCACCGGGAUCAAUGGGACUGAAGCCCCAGCGGGAAGCCACUUACCAGAGGAUGUAGGUUCUUCAUCCAGAGCUCAAGUCUUCUUGGGAUCAGACCUUCCAGCUCCCUGGACUUGACCUUCCAGCUGCCUCUCAUGUACUUGUCUGUUGGGGGUUUGUGUUGAUCAGGAGUGAAUUCACAGUCUACCAUGAACUGGAAGGUUCUUGAGCACGUGCCCCUGCUGCUGUAUAUCUUGGCAGCAAAAACAUUAAUUCUCUGCCUGGCAUUUGCUGGAGUGAAAAUAUACCAAAGAAAAAGAUUGGAAGCAAAACAACAAAAACUGGAGGCUGAAAGGAAGAGGCAAUCAGAGAAAAAAGAUAACUGAAGGUCCUAAUUGGGACCACCUACUCCACUUGGAGUGUCCAGAUGGAGUUUCCCCUCCGCAGAUGCCUCUCACUCAUCCUCCACUACUUUGCUGACAAGGAAGGAACGAUAAUUGGCAGGAGGGAGUCUUGCUUGGUGACCAUCUGGACGAUACCUCACACAUGGCCAGCUGGAUGCCUGUGGAUGACUUUGGUGGAUGGAAACUGGUGGCAGAAGGAAGGUAUGGCAAAUAGCAAAAUAAAGUCAGUCUGCACACCUAGCUUCCACUGGAGCUUGCAGAGCUAAAGACGUUUCAUAAAAUGGGCAUGAAGGAUUCCCUCAAAUGAAGAUGUGGACAAAAUGAUUGGUCAGGUCCUUUGCUCUACUGUUGAAUGGAGGAGGAUUUUUUUCCCCCGCCGACACAGGGGUUUUCUUGGAGCUCAAGUUUGGACAACCCCAGACAGUAAGAUAAUCUCAUCAUGGUAAAGUUAAUAAGAAAUAUGUGGUCUCCAAACAGCCUCUUCUGGAGGCCAGGAUCAGCAGGUUUGGGUGGGUAAUUGGCUUGUGGUCAUUUUCUCUUAGGAUUUUUCUUUUAGUAGUGGAAACUGUUUUUCAGAUCAAAUUUGGAUGCCAACUAUGUGGAGCAGAAGUAUGGCUGCUGUGGUGGAAUUGAUCCCCCUGUCAGCCACACCCUUUUGUCUCCCCCUACCCCAAGGGACUCUGUGGCCUGGAACCGCAGUGUGAAAUGCUGUAUAGUGCAAUGAAGUCAAUUUUAAGACAAGAGUUCUUUGCCUCUCUCAUCUAAUUUUUAGUUAUGGAGAUGAGACACUUGUUCAGAAGUAUGGAAAAGUAUAUAUAAUAUGUUAUCUUUUAGAUAUGUGUGUAAAUAUGCAUAUGUAUGCAAUGUGCUUAUAUUUUAACGCAUAAACAACAUGAAUAAAGCAAACACUCUAGACUUCUCCAAAUGUA